rfam:Trichinella nativa scaffold190s, whole genome shotgun sequence.
GCCCCGGUAGCGCAGUAGGUAGCGCGUGAGUCUCAUAAUCUCAAGGUCGAGGGUUCGAUCCCCUCCCGAGGCA